CCUACGGGAGGCUGCAGUGGGGAAUAUUGCACAAUGGGGGAAACCCUGAUGCAGCGACGCCGCGUGAGUGAAGAAGUAUUUCGGUAUGUAAAGCUCUGUCAGCAGGGAAGAAAAUGACGGUACCUGACCAAGAAGCCCCGGCUAACUACGUGCCAGCAGCCGCGGUAAUACGUAGGGGGCAAGCGUUAUCCGGAUUUACUGGGUGUAAAGGGAGAGUAGACGGCAGGGGAAGUCUGGAGUGAAAGGCGGGGGCUCAAACCCCGGACUGCUCUGGAAACUGCAAGGCUGGAGUGCAGGAGAGGUAAGUGGAAGUCCAAGUGUAGCGGUGAAAUGCGUAGAUAUUAGGAGGAACACCAGUGGCGAAGGCGGCUUACUGGACUGUAACUGACGUUGAGGCUCGAAAGCGUGGGGAGCAAACAGGAUUAGAUACCCUAGUAGUC
rnacentral:rRNA from 1 species